AUUAACUUUCGUUCUUCCGCAAUGACCUAACCGUCAUGGGGACAA
rnacentral:snoRNA from 1 species